AUAUACGCACUUCUUCUAUAUCAUUUGUUCGUGUAUCUUUAUUCUGUAAUUUACUGAUGAGAAACACAUUUGCAGCAUAUGAAACUUUCUUUUUGGUCACGAACAAUGGCAAGUUGGUAAAUUCGUGAACAAUAUAGGUACAACCGGAAAAUUUUUAACAAGUCCCAGUAGUUACUAAAAAAAAGCCUUGCGGCGCUAUUAACCGCACUUUAGGCCAAGUCGAGCCUUUGAACCCGGAUUACCAACGAGCGGUCAGCGGAAAAGGGUUAUUUUGUGCGUUUUACUAUCGAGGCACGUCAAGGUUGAGACACCACCGUAGCAAAUGUAGCAAAUAGCAACCCUUCCUUCCGUACAUUCAGUCCAAGGAGAUCCCCCUCGGUCUUUAUCUCGCAAAGGAUUUUAACUACUGCCCACCAUCCGGCAUUCAAAAUUACAUAGUACCCUUUCUUUACACAGAUACGAACGAGACAAAAAAAGAGACUGUAUAACGCUUCGAUUUUUUUACGAUAAAGGGACGCAAGGUGAUGCGUAUCCUAUUUGCUGACGGAGCUUCUGCAUAGGUCGCAAACAUGAGGCCUUGACGUGUCGUAAAGGGGUAAUCAGCCUUCCUCCGGCCGAACCUUGACUGUAAUGCAUGUCUCUAGCAUGUCUCAUCCUGUGUUGUAAGUGCGUGUGUCAACCGGUGUGUCAGUGUUUGAGUAGGUAUGCGUGUCGCGUCGCUGCGCUUCUGUCAUUCUACCGUUGAAGUCUGUCUAAGAAGCAUGGAUAAACCGAUGCCUCGUGACGGAAUCGCGUACCGCGUAUUGUCAUCUGUUUAAACGAACCUGCGAUAUUGCGAGAGGUGUGCAAUUUACAUCAAUCAUCGGCGAAUGCGGUGAUGUUCAGUGAAUUGUGCAGUUAGUGCAUCGAUCAAUAGCCAAUGAACUUCGUCUCCAGCUGGUCUCUAAUCAGCGACGUAGCUACCACAUUCAGCGACAUACUUAGUACAUACUUUUCUCAAGAAAUAGCGUGCGAAAGAUUCGUCUUGGAGCACGCGACCCGUUUCUCCCGAUUUACGAGCAAACUACUCGUCGAAUUAAUAAUUUUCGCCACCGCGGGGUUUCUGUAGCAAACUCACGAGGUCGUAACCUUACCUGUACGCUAGACAAAGAAAGAGCUGAAGAGGCAGCUGCGGACGCGAGUAAAGGACGGAGAAGGAAGGAAAGUGAGAUGAAACCACAGGGGCAGCUUGCGAUACGUUCGUAUCCUCUCUCUUUCUCUCUUUCACGUAAUAGAGCUUUGCCCAAUAAAAACGUCACGAAUUCAGGGGCGAAGAGUUUCUUGGUGAACACCGUCUGGUGGCGCCAGGAUACGUUCCCAAUCCACAGGGAGUUGCGUAAAGCUCACUGGCUCGCUGUCACACGCAAGAAGUCAGCGAGAGUGGUGGGGAGACUAUGGGAUGAGACGAUAUCGCACGCACACACAGAGACGCGGCGAAAUCAAAUCGACGCCAGCGCGUUUCGAAGGAAGGGCGAGAAAGCGGCAGGACUAAGCGUCGAGAAAAACAGAGAGACUAUCGUGACAAGACAGUCAAAGAGAGAAGGAAGUAACCGGAGACUAAGAGAGGGAAAGAGAAGUCUGCGAGAGAAAGAGAGAAAGAUGAAUAGGGAGUCCGUAGGGUGGAUGAAGAAAACGUAAGACAGACAGAGUAAGAAGAUAACAGAGAAGGGUUGAUCGAUCCUGAUAAGAACGAAAAAGAUGGAACAAUCCCGAGAGAAGCAGAAGGUGACGGAGGAAACAGAGACAAUGAACGUGGAAGAGAAAGAGACAAAUACAGAGAAAGAGAGAAAUAAAUAGGGUGGGCGUGAGAGAGAAAGGGAAGUUGCUUGGAAGCGACUAGAGAGACAAAGAACGGAAGGCUGGCAAGAGGGAGGAAGGAAGGUAGAGAGAGUCAGGAAGGGAAAGAGAGACGGAGCGAGAGGGGUUGGUCGACCCUGCGCGUUAUCAAGAGCCGCCCCUCCCGGUCGCCCCUAUAUCCACCCCGACUUUAUAUACCCCCCGUGCACCCAAAGAGUACAUGCAUUCGUGUGUGCGGUGGUGAAAACCCACACAACGUUGACGUAGCUCGUCCCUAGACGUAGCCGGGCGCAGAGCGACGCCGCAUGGCGUCGGCGUCGCGAGGUCGUCCCCGGCGCUAAACUCUCUAACGAUGGCAUCGUCGGCCAACCGCCGCCAAAGGAAGCCGCUUCUCCGUGGCUCGUAACACGUUCCUGGACGACCGGGAUGCCUGGACGGAUCGGAGCACCCGAAGGACCAGACACGAAGAGACGAAGAGACCCGAUAUCCGCGAGUGACGUGCAACGCCGAAGCGCCGCGACGCCGACAGUCGUCCGCGGGACGCGUCACGGUCGUCUCGCUGGAGACCGAGGGCGCCUAUUCCAGCUGCAUCAGCCUCCAGUUGGCCUCUGACGUAUGAACGGCACACGUCUCUAAUCAUCCCGUCUCAUCUUCCUGCGUCAGCUUUUCUUCAUUUUUUUACUCCCCAGCCGUGCGCAUUCUUUCCCAUUCUAUCCGUACCUCGUUCACUACGCCUCCCCCAUUUUCGUCUCGUCUCGUCUCGUCUCGACUCGUUCGUUCUCGAGUUCAUCUCUCUUUCUCCUCGAUUGCAUCGUGCACUCUGUCCUUCGCAUCGAGCCACGACUCAGCGAAUCGGUGAACGAAACGGAGCGCAUCCACCGUGAACGUCACUCGUAGCAUGUAGACCGAGCGGAACUGUCAUUCGUAUGUCGCGAAGACGGGAUCGGAGUGCCUUCUGUGAUUGAUAACCCUGAAUGCUCCUUCGGACUCCUCAGUGUGCGGUGCUCGACAUAUAUCGGAAAAGGAUCCUACGUCAGAUUUCACAUAUCGGUUGAUUUCAGUUGGCGGCGAUGCUCGAACGGGAGAUCUACGUAAUGACGAUGCCUCAAAAAUUAAUUCGACCGCAGAUUGAAAGACCCAGAGAAGGGAUGGAAACGUAACAAAUAGUAACAUGAGGCGAACUCAAGAUGGCCAUGAAAAAUGAAGCGCGUAUGGACUUCCACUGUGUAUUAAGCAAUCACUCCAAUUGGAUUGCUACAAGACCACUUGCACCCCGCACGAGUCAACAACAUUUAAUAAGCAUCUUGUCUUAUAUCUAACUUGAAUUAGGAUUCGCCAACAAUCGAGAUUGUUUGCGGAAUGGAAGAUAUUAAUGAUCGAGACCGUCUGCCGCUUCAUGCCAGCAAUUCCAAAGAAUAUAAUAUUAGUCUACACUACGCGAUGCCAAACUGCCGUCGAUCAAGUUCUGCAUCCUUGGCAAGGGCAGCCACCGGCGAGGCGUUAUCCGAUGAGGAAUGUGAAACCCCCUGUACGUAUACUGAAUGUAUCCUGAGUGUAUUCCUGUCCGGUAUACCUUCAGUAUACGUAACAGGAGGCUACACCGUACAACGUUGGACUUCUUCAUCAGCGCACUUCCUUAAUUAUAAAUAAUCUUCGUGCUAUAAAAUAUAGAAUCUUAAGAAGAUAGAGAGAAUAAUAGAAAUAGGAACACUUAGAAUAAUAAGAUAUUUCAUUUACUUAAGAUGUCGUAAUCCUUGAACAUAAUUUCUUGUUUGUUUUACAUUCUCUCUAAUGUAAUAAAUUUGCUAGAUAUGUUUGUAUAUUGAUAUUUGUAUGUUUAUUAACUGUAUAAAGUGUAUCAAUAAAAGAAUUAUAAUUAUAAUAUUAAUACACA